rnacentral:rRNA from 1 species
ACACAUCUCAGAGCCAAUAUCAGUUAAAUUAAAUAAAUUAAAUUACUAUCAAAUCCACCUUCAUUAACAGUAUUUCACUAUCAAAUCCGUUAUAAACAAAAAUCUAUUGUAACCCACCUCCUCUUAACUAUAAGCUGCACCUUGACCUGAAAUAUUUUAUAAUUAUAAAUCUUGAGAAUUAUAACUCUAAAAAGAUUCUCUGAUAACGGAGAUAUACAAACAAAUAAAUUAAGUAGAGUAAAUCGUGUAUUAUCAAUCAUGGGGUAGGUUCCUCUGAAUGGAAUGAGAUACCGCCAAAUUCUUUGGGUUUAAAGACCUUAACUAAUAGUACCCUGGUAAAUAUAAUUAACAUUUAAA